rnacentral:rRNA from 1 species
GACGAACGCUGGCGGCGUGCUUAACACAUGCAAGUCGAGCGGAGCGGCGAACGGGUGAGUAACGCGUGAGUAACUGCCCCCCUCUCUGGGAUAACAGUUGGAAACGGCUGCUAAUACCGGAUAGUGGGGGAUGACUCGCGUCCUAUCAGCUUGUUGGUGGGGUAGUGGACUACCAAGGCGACGCCGGGUAGCCGGCCUGAGAGGGCGACCGGCCACAAUGGGCUGAGAUACGGCCCGAACUCCGACGGGGGGCAGCAGUGAGGAAGAUUGCACAAUGGGGGAAACCCUGAUGCAGGAACGCCGAGGGCGGGAUGACGGCCUUCGGAUUGUAAACCGCUUUCAGCCAUAACGCGGUAGUGGCAGAAGAAGCACCGGCUAACUACGUGCCAGCAGCCGCGGUAAUAC